UUUCUAUUAUUAUAGAAUUGAGUAAAUAAAUUACUCAGCAUUUGUUGCUCAUUAUUUAAUUGAGCUUUAUCUUUGGUUUCAUUUCUAUUUUAAUAUGUUGUUUCGCCAAACAAAUUCAGUUCAAGUAUGAAUAGCCUUUGAUUGAUGCCACUAAACCAAACCAAUUUUGCAGAUCCCACUGUCGCCCUUGCAUUCGCAUACCCGGGAUCGAGAGAUGGUUUCUAAGGUCACGCUAAACAGUACACUUUGAUUUUCAACAAUGUGACAUAGCUCUUCUAAGUGUAGGGCAUUAAUUUACUAGCAAAUUGAGACGUAUCUUGUAGCCGUCUACAAUGACAACCGGACACGGCACAAAGGACACAAACGUCUACUGUAUCAAAUAAUAACCAAAUUUACAUAAACGCGAUUGCCACUCCAUAUAGGUUACACAUGCAGCACACAAUUUAAACAGCUCGAGAUCGGUCGGCAUAUAAUCAUGAUCGAACGUAAUUGUGGUUGAAUGUUUAGCAGGCAAUAUGGCUAGACCUGCUUAUAAAUUUCUAGGAUUGGACGGUACCUCGCUCAGUGAUGGGCGUUGCAGUUAGCGUCGUGUACGCUAAAUGAAUGCGAUCCAUAAAUGUUUGAAAACGAAGCUCAACACAUACUUGAUUAUCAGUUUAAACGCCAAAUGUCGCUCGUUAAAACUUGGAGAAGGACCCUACUAAGUUGUUAGUCGGAAAAUCGGAAACAUUCUUUGUGAAAUAGUAGUUGUAAUUCUUAACUAGUAUUACAGAUUGGUUACAGAGAGCAGACAUUAAAUUGAUAUGAUUUAUUAAUAAAUACGCCAAUAAAUUGCCUAAUUAAUGGGCGAAUUCUAAAUA
rnacentral:sRNA from 1 species